AAAAGGAAUUUGGCUUUAAUUGCCCACAUGUGUUUUUCUUUGAAACAAACUUGCUUUGGCGGUGGGCCCAGCCUGCCGCCAGAGGUCUAAACUUACAACCAAUUUUUUAUUAACUUGUCACACCAGAUUAUUACUUAAUAGUCAAAACUUUCAACAACGGAUCUCUUGGUUCUCGCAUCGAUGAAGAACGCAGCGAAAUGCGAUACGUAAUAUGAAUUGCAGAUAUUCGUGAAUCAUCGAAUCUUUGAACGCACAUUGCGCCCUCUGGUAUUCCGGAGGGCAUGCCUGUUUGAGCGUCGUUUCUCCCUCAAACCGCUGGGUUUGGUGUUGAGCAAUACGACUUGGGUUUGCUUGAAAGACGGUAGUGGUAAGGCGGGAUCGCUUUGACAAUGGCUUAGGUCUAACCAAAAACAUUGCUUGCGGCGGUAACGUCCACCACGUAUAUCUUCAAACUUUGACCUCAAAUCAGGUAGGACUACCCGCUGAACUUAAGCAUAUCAAUAAGCGGAGGAA
rnacentral:rRNA from 1 species